rnacentral:rRNA from 1 species
GAUAAACGCUGGCGGCGUGCUUAACACAUGCAAGUCGAACGAAGUUUUUCUUUCGGGGGGAACUUAGUGGCGGACGGGUGAGUAACGCGUGGGUAACCUGCCCUGUACAGGGGGACAACAGCUGGAAACGGCUGCUAAUACCGCAUAAGCCCUUAGCACUGCAUGGUGCAUAGGGAAAAGGAGCAAUCCGGUACAGGAUGGACCCGCGUCUGAUAGCCAGUUGGCAGGGUAACGGCCUACCAAAGCGACGAUCAGUAGCCGAUCUGAGAGGAUGUACGGCCACACUGGGACUGAGACACGGCCCAGAAUCCUACGGGAGGCAGCAGUGGGGAAUAUUGCACAAUGGAGGAAGCUCUGAUGCAGCGACGCCGCGUGAGUGAAGAAGUAUGUCGGUAUGUAAAGCGCUAUCAGCAGGAAAGAAAAUGACGGUACCUGACGAAGAAGCACCGGCUAACUACGUG